CACGCUGCUCUUAGGAAGCAGUGCUAGAGCAUCUCGGUUCGAGUCCGAGUGGCGGCAUACUCUAAAAGAGAUAGAAUGAA
rnacentral:tRNA from 3 species